rnacentral:rRNA from 1 species
AGCGGCGGACGGGUGAGUAAUGCCUAGGGAAUCUGCCUGGUAGUGGGGGAUAACGUCCGGAAACGGACGCUAAUACUCCAUACGUCCUACUGGAGAAAGCAGGGGACCUUCGGGCCUUGCGCUAUCAGAUGAGCCUAGGUCGGAUUAGCUAGUUGGUGGGGUAAUGGCUCACCAAGGCGACGAUCCGUAACUGGUCUGAGAGGAUGAUCAGUCACACUGGAACUGAGACACGGUCCAGACUCCUACGGGAGGCAGCAGUGGGGAAUAUUGGACAAUGGGCGAAAGCCUGAUCCAUCCAUGCCGCGUGUGUGAAGAAGGUCUUCGGAUUGUAAAGCACUUUAAGUUGGGAGGAAGG